rnacentral:lncRNA from 1 species
AGUAGCAAUGGAGUUUCUACUCCCUGUAGUAGUAUAGUGUGAUUAAUUGUACAAGGAUAUAAUGUCGCACCAAGUUUGGCAAAUGUUUUUUUGUACAAGCCCAAUUUUGGGCCCAAAGCCCACUAAAUACCCACUACACCCAAAACAAAUAACCUACCCAAAUCACCCCAAAGACCCAAACCUACCCAUGCCCACACACACAACAAAAGAAAAAAGCAAAGGAAACUCUAGCCGUUCAGCACCUGCUCCCCAUCUCAUCCACCACCGACGUCUGCAAGCACCGCCACUGUGCCACCGCCCCACUUGCGCCUGCAACAUUAAAAAAAGGAGAAUAGACAGAUAUUAAAAAAGGGAAAUGUAAUGGCUAUUUAAAAGCCAAAUCCAAAAACCAUGUACUCAUUCAGGCAUUUUCAGUAAAAAUAAAGAGCAAUAUUAGAUCGUAAAACUGAAGCAAAAAACAAAGAAACCCUAGCAAUAUCAAACAACAAAAUCAGUUCAAACAGAGAAUAGACAUCUAAUAACCGAAGGUGAUUCAUCUUAAUCUUCUUGCUUUUUCUUUCUUUUUCACUUACUCUACUCACAUAUAUAUAUACGCUUUAAAAACAAAAAAAUAUAAAAAUUUCUUACCUUUUUCGAUCUCCAGCCACCAUGCACGGUGGCCGGCACGGCGCUUGGCCUGCACCUCGCCGGCUUCUGGGCCGAUAGACCAAGAGAGGGAGAGAGGGUUCGGGGCUUU